CCCUUAGAUGUUCUGGGCCGCACGCGUGCUACACUGAGUGGAUCAGCGGGUCAGGUUGCGCGAAAGUGUUUCCUAAUCUUGAAAUCCGCUCGUGAUGGGGAUUGACGGUUGCAAUUUUCCGUCAUGAACGAGGAAUACCUUGUAAGCGCGGGUCAUCAUCCCGCGCUGAAUACGUCCCUGCCCGUUGUACACACCGCCCGUCGCUCCUACCGAUUGAGUGGUCCGGUGAGGCUUUGGGAUCUGAGCGGAAAGAGCGUUUCGCUGUUUCUGCUCGGAAAACUCAGUCGAACCUUAUCAUUUAGAGGAAGGAGAAGUCGUAACA
rnacentral:rRNA from 1 species